ACUUUGGUGGCGACCGGCGCAAGGGUGCGUAACGCGUGAGCAACAUGCCCGUAUCAGGGGGAUAAUCCAGGGAAACUUGGUCUAAUACCCCAUAGUAAUUUCGUAAGGCAUCUUAUGGGAUUUAAAGCUUUGGUGGAUACGGAUUGGCUCGCGUGACAUUAGCUGGAUGGUAAGGUAACGGCUUACCAUGGCUAUGAUGUCUAGGGGUUCUGAGAGGAAGGUCCCCCACACUGGAACUGAGACACGGUCCAGACUCCUACGGGAGGCAGCAGUGAGGAAUAUUGGACAAUGGAUGGAAAUCUGAUCCAGCCAUGCCGCGUGAAGGAAGAAUGUCCUAUGGAUUGUAAACUUCUUUUGUAUGGGAGCAAUAAGGUCUUCGUGAAGACUGAUGAGAGUACCAUACGAAUAAGCAUCGGCUAACUCCGUGCC
rnacentral:rRNA from 1 species